GCUCCGUGCUCAGCAGGAAGUUUGCUUGAGUCUUUCAAGAGAAUCUAAAGGUGAGAGGGACAGAGGGGAGAGAGUGAUGAGAUUAGGACAUUAUCCUUAGAGGAGGUUAGUUUUUGGUGUCUGUCUCCUCUGUUCCAAAGAGAAGGACUUAGAGUUUGUCCCCCCCUUUCUGCUUAUGGGGUGAAACUCAGAAACACUGAGGACAGGUGUUGAAGACCGCAGAAAUGCAGGAGGUGAGAACCUGCGGCUACUGUUCUGGAGAAAUCAAAGACUCACUGUGAAAAGAGAGAAGAUGAAAGUUUACAUGUUUAAGGAGAGAGCUAUCUUAGUAAAGAAUGUCCAUUUGGAUUGAAACAAGGACUGGGGUUUUGCCAACAAGUGUGAAGGAGAAGGGCAGGACAUUCACGGUUCAUUCAAGGGGUACCUGUGAUGAAGGAGCUGGAAUGGAAGCUGAGGAAGAAGGUCCUGUGAUUUUAUUAACCUGGCUGAGUAUGGUUAUGAUGGAGUGGUUGCGGAACUGCAUGGUGGCUCAGAGGGGUACAUCUAGUUACUGAGGGCUGUAAUCUGGGUAUUUGGCUCCUGGAGGAACGCAGUCUUAAUCACAGGCACAUACUGGGAAGCAGGAAGAUAACCAUAUAAUCUAUGUGGCCUCUGUGCUCCACAACAGAAUGUUUUCACGAGAUCGUGGGUUCCUGAGCAUGGAUUUCAGAUACUGUAUAACGUGGAAGAAGAGUGAAUGGAUCUAUCCCUUUUUGGACAACUGCACAUUUUCAACACUUCUGCACAGUAUCACCUCGAAGGGCUACUCUAAUUAGUCAAAGAAUCUUUCCUGCCGGGUGUGACAUUUUUGCAGACAUGAUGUCACCUUCCAAAAUUUCUUGGCUCACUGAAGGAAAUAUGAAACAUGUUGACGUUAUGCUAAAGAUUAAUUGGGUUCUAAUUUUUAAUUUUGGAAAUCUUCUUGGUCCUUUUGAGUGACAGCUGAGAUCAAACUUGCAAAUAUAUUGGAAUAAAUUACCUAAGGGAAUAGUA